rnacentral:rRNA from 1 species
AUUGAACGCUGGCGGCAGGCUUAACACAUGCAAGUCGAACGAGUGGCGGACGGGUGAGUAAUGCUUGGGAAUCUAGCUUAUGGAGGGGGAUAACUACGGGAAACUGUAGCUAAUACCGCGUACCAUAGGAUGAGCCCAAGUGGGAUUAGGUAGGGGGUGAGGUAAAGGCUCACCAAGCCGACGAUCACUAGCUGGUCUGAGAGGGUGACCGGCCACACGGGGACUGAGACACGGCCCAGACUCCUACGGGGGGCAGCAGUGGGGAAUAUUGCGCAAUGGGGGAAACCUGACGCAGCCAGGCCGCGUGAAUGAAGAAGGCCUUCGGGGUGUAAAGUUCUUUCGGUAGGGAGGCGUUACCUACAGAAGAAGCAACGGCUAACUCCGUGCCAGCAGCCGCGGUAAUUC